rnacentral:rRNA from 1 species
CCUAGGGUUUUCGGACCUGAUUUUUGAUCCUGAGAAACGGCUACCACAUCCAAGGAAGGCAGCAGGCGCGCAAAUUACCCAAUACCGACACGGUGAGGUAGUGACAAUAAAUAACAAUGCAGGGUCUUUAUGGUCUUUGCAAUUGGAAUGAGUACAAUUUAAAUCCCUUAACGAGGAUCAAUUGGAGGGCAAGUCUGGUGCCAGCAGCCGCGGUAAUUCCAGCUCCAAAAGCGUAUAUUAAAGUUGUUGCAGUUAAAACGUCCGUAGUCGAACUUACGCCUUGUGGCUAUGCAGCUGGUCAUUCAUUUGGCUAGAUUUGUUUUAGCCCGGGUGAUAAAGUUUGGGUAUGAUCAUGUUGGCUUCGGUCGGUGUGGUUCUCUGCCCAAGCGUAUUACCAUGAGCAAAUCAGAAUGCUCAAAGUAGGCCUUCGUGCCUGAAUGUGUUAGCAUGGAAUAAUGAAAUAGGACCCUAGUCUUGUUUUGUUGGUAUACUUGACCUUGGGAAAUGAUGAAUAGGAACGGUUGGGGGCAUUUGUAUUUGGUCGCUAGAGGUGAAUCUGGAUGCCUAAGCCGC